CUGUCUUUAAAAGUUGGACCAAGAGAAAAGUUUCAGAUGGAGCCACUGAAACUGUCGCGCAGCCUCAAGCCCUUACCUUCCUUUUCUUUUUGGUCUUCUUUCUUUCUUGGUGCUGCUGGACCGUGGAGUUUCUCCUCCAUUUUCUUGAGCCUUCUCAUCCUUUGAAGCUUCAAGACCUGGACCACUCUUUUCUCCUUGUGCUAGCUGCAGAACUUGGGACAAGUCCUUCUCCACCUUUUGAUUUCUUCUUCCUCAUUGACG
rnacentral:lncRNA from 1 species